rnacentral:rRNA from 1 species
CAGGAAGCAGCUUGCUGCUUUGCUGACGAGUGGCGGACGGGUGAGUAAUGUCUGGGAAACUGCCUGAUGGAGGGGGAUAACUACUGGAAACGGUGGCUAAUACCGCAUAACGUCGCAAGACCAAAGAGGGGGACCUUCGGGCCUCUUGCCAUCAGAUGUGCCCAGAUGGGAUUAGCUGGUUGGUGAGGUAACGGCUCACCAAGGCGACGAUCCCUAGCUGGUCUGAGAGGAUGACCAGCCACACUGGAACUGAGACACGGUCCAGACUCCUACGGGAGGCAGCAGUGGGGAAUAUUGCACAAUGGGCGCAAGCCUGAUGCAGCCAUGCCGCGUGUAUGAAGAAGGCCUUCGGGUUGUAAAGUACUUUCAGCGGGGAGGAAGGUGUUGUGGUUAAUAACCGCAGCAAUUGACGUUACCCGCAGAAGAAGCACCGGCUAACUCCGUGCCAGCAGCCGCGGUAAUACGGAGGGUGCAAGCGUUAAUCGGAAUUACUGGGCGUAAAGCGCACGCAGGCGGUCUGUCAAGUCGGAUGUGAAAUCCCCGGGCUCAACCUGGGAACUGCAUUCGAAACUGGCAGGCUUGAGUCUUGUAGAGGGGGGUAGAAUUCCAGGUGUAGCGGUGAAAUGCGUAGAGAUCUGGAGGAAUACCGGUGGCGAAGGCGGCCCCCUGGACAAAGACUGACGCUCAGGUGCGAAAGCGUGGGGAGCAAACAGGAUUAGAUACCCUGGUAGUCCACGCCGUAAACGAUGUCUACUUGGAGGUUGUGCCCUUGAGGCGUGGCUUCCGGAGCUAACGCGUUAAGUAGACCGCCUGGGGAGUACGGCCGCAAGGUUAAAACUCAAAUGAAUUGACGGGGGCCCGCACAAGCGGUGGAGCAUGUGGUUUAAUUCGAUGCAACGCGAAGAACCUUACCUGGUCUUGACAUCCACGGAAGUUUUCAGAGAUGAGAAUGUGCCUUCGGGAACCGUGAGACAGGUGCUGCAUGGCUGUCGUCAGCUCGUGUUGUGAAAUGUUGGGUUAAGUCCCGCAACGAGCGCAACCCUUAUCCUUUGUUGCCAGCGGUCCGGCCGGGAACUCAAAGGAGACUGCCAGUGAUAAACUGGAGGAAGGUGGGGAUGACGUCAAGUCAUCAUGGCCCUUACGACCAGGGCUACACACGUGCUACAAUGGCGCAUACAAAGAGAAGCGACCUCGCGAGAGCAAGCGGACCUCAUAAAGUGCGUCGUAGUCCGGAUUGGAGUCUGCAACUCGACUCCAUGAAGUCGGAAUCGCUAGUAAUCGUGGAUCAGAAUGCCACGGUGAAUACGUUCCCGGGCCUUGUACACACCGCCCGUCACACCAUGGGAGUGGGUUGCAAAAGAAGUAGGUAGCUUAACCUUCGGGAGGGCGCUUACCACUUUGUGAUUCAUGACUGGGGUGAAGUCGUAACAAGGUAACCGUAGGGGAACCUGCGGUUGGAUCACCUCCUUACCUUAAAGAAGC